rnacentral:rRNA from 1 species
CCUGGCCUUGACAUACUAAGAACUUUCCAGAGAUGGAUUGGUGCCUUCGGGAACUUAGAUACAGGUGCUGCAUGGCUGUCGUCAGCUCGUGUCGUGAGAUGUUGGGUUAACGUCCGCAACGAGCGCAACCCUUUUCCUUAUUUGCCAGCGGGUCAUGCCGGGAACUUUAAGGAUACUGCCAGUGACAAACUGGAGGAAGGCGGGGACGACGUCAAGUCAUCAUGGCCCUUACGGCCAGGGCUACACACGUGCUACAAUGGUCGGUACAAAGGGUUGCUACCUCGCGAGAGGAUGCUAAUCUCAAAAAGCCGAUCGUAGUCCGGAUCGCAGUCUGCAACUCGACCGCGUGAAGUCGGAAUCGCUAGUAAUCGCGGAUCAGAAUGCCGCGGUGAAUACGUUCCCGGGCCUUGUACACACCGCCCGUCACACCAUGGGAGUUUGUUGCACCAGAAGUAGGUAGUCUAACCGCAAGGAGGACGCUUACCACGGUGUGGCCGAUGACUGGGGUGAAGUCGUAACAAGGUAAGCGUAGAUGA